rnacentral:rRNA from 1 species
GACGAACGCUGGCGGCGUGCCUAAUACAUGCAAGUUGAGCGCUGAAGGUUGGUACUUGUACCAACUGGAUGAGCAGCGAACGGGUGAGUAACGCGUGGGGAAUCUGCCUUUGAGCGGGGGACAACAUUUGGAAACGAAUGCUAAUACCGCAUAAAAACUUUAAACACAAGUUUUAAGUUUGAAAGAUGCAAUUGGAUCACUCAAAGAUGAUCCCGCGUUGUAUUAGCUAGUUGGUGAGGUAAAGGCUCACCAAGGCGAUGAUACAUAGCCGACCUGAGAGGGUGAUCGGCCACAUUGGGACUGAGACACGGCCCAAACUCCUACGGGAGGCAGCAGUAGGGAAUCUUCGGCAAUGGACGAAAGUCUGACCGAGCAACGCCGCGUGAGUGAAGAAGGUUUUCGGAUCGUAAAACUCUGUUGGUAGAGAAGAACGUUGGUGAGAGUGGAAAGCUCAUCAAGUGACGGUAACUACCCAGAAAGGGACGGCUAACUACGUG